AAUGGAGCACAGCUUUAAAGAAGAGGGGCACAUUUGUAAAAUUACUCUAAUAGAUUCAGAUUUAAAGUUUACUUGGUUCUAACAUCUUUCUAGUCGGUGCAGGGUUAUUUUUGCAUUAGUUUUAUAGGUAUUUGAGUGCAUUGGCAAAAUAUAUUUUUCACAUAAGGGCAUAGAAUUUAGUAAGGACAGCAUGUCCCUACCAAUAUCAAGCAACUACUGUCAAUUAUUUUGAUCAACAAAUGUAAAUAUGUUGUCAGUCAGUGUCUAGUCAAUGUAUUUGGUACACAAACAGUUAACAGCCAGCCGCAAAUUAAUGAGAGAAAAACAUAAACCAAAAGGCAGAAGUGUAGUUCAGAGUUAAAGGGGGAAAAAAUUGUAAUGGGAGAUUUAGAGAAUUAAGACUUAGAUUAGAAAAAUCUGAAAAAAGUAGAGCAAUAACGUAGGCUAAUGCACAGCAGAGUGUGGGGCAGGCAGAGUUUGUUAAAAUAUUAUGACUGUUCACGACAUGUGAGAGAACAUAGAUAUGUGGGACAUAUUUAGAAUAUGCAGAAAACCUGUUGAAAUACAGGAGCUAUUAAAGGCUAUAUAAAUGAAUGCAUUUUAUUGUUGACAUAAAUAGGUGCCACAUGCACAUUUAAAGAGGUUACUUACUGAGAGCUUUACUGCAUUAUAUUUUUAUAUCUUGAAUUGCCACCUGCUGCUUGAAUUAUGUGUUUCUCUUUACAUAAAUAAAGACAUUUCCACCAUAGACUGAUACAGAAAAGGCAGAAACAGGUGCAGAACAAUUCAACAGAAUUCAAGAAAUGAAGUGAUUAAUGCUGGAAAUGUUCUGAGACCACCAGCUAAAGGGUCCUCUCCAAUGUUGAAACCAAACCUACACCCUUGUUUGUAUAGAAAUGUUAAUAUAAUCCACUCUGCAGUGAUGUGUUUUUCUAUGUGUCUGCAGGAAAUAUAUCUUUAAUAUGGGGGGGGAACAACCACCAUGACCACCAAUAUUGUCAUAUCACAUCUUGUGAGAAAAGGAGUCCUACUGAGGGGCUUGCGGGAGAUGUGAUUAUUGAUGCAGGAAGAAGUGGACUUUGAGACCACUCAGGCCAUUAAAUCUACACCAUGCCCUCUUUCCACGAAACACUCCCUGCAGAGACAGAAGACCAGGAAGGCACCAGGACCAGACGGAGUGUCAGCCUCCUGCUUGAAACUCUGUAGUGACCAGCUGGCCCCCUAUCUUCACACAGAUCUCCAAUAGAUCACUGGAGGUGUGUGAAGUUCCCUCCUGCUUCAAACGCUCCACAAUCA